rnacentral:rRNA from 1 species
UGAGGAAUAUUGGGCAAUGGACGAAAGUCUGACCCAGCCAUGCCGCGUGCAGGAUGAAGGCGCUAUGCGUUGUAAACUGCUUUUAUGAGGAAAGAAACGCCUGAACGUGUUCAGGUCUGACGGUACCUCAGGAAUAAGGAUCGGCUAACUCCGUGCCAGCAGCCGCGGUAAUACGGAGGAUCCAAGCGUUAUCCGGAUUUAUUGGGUUUAAAGGGUGCGUAGGCGGAAUAAUAAGUCAGCGGUGAAAUCUCUCGGCUUAACCGAGAAACUGCCAUUGAUACUGUUAUUCUUGAGUAUAUUUGAGGUGGGCGGAAUGUGUCAUGUAGCGGUGAAAUGCUUAGAUAUGACCCAGAACGCCGAUUGCGUAGGCAGCUCACUAAACUAUAACUGACGCUGAGGC